rnacentral:rRNA from 1 species
ACCAGACUCCUACGGGAGGCAGCAGUGGGGAAUAUUGCACAAUGGGGGAAACCCUGAUGCAGCGACGCCGCGUGCGUGAAGAAGUAAUUCGUUAUGUAAAGCUCUAUCAGCAGGGAAGAAAAUGACGGUACCUGAGUAAGAAGCCCCGGCUAACUACGUGCCAGCAGCCGCGGUAAUACGUAGGGGGCAAGCGUUAUCCGGAUUUACUGGGUGUAAAGGGAGCGUAGACGGUUAUGUAAGUCUGGAGUGAAAGCCCGGGGCCCAACCCCGGGACUGCUUUGGAAACUGUGUAACUGGAGUACAGGAGGGGCAGGCGGAAUUCCUGGUGUAGCGGUGAAAUGCGUAGAUAUCAGGAGGAACACCGGCGGCGAAGGCGGCCUGCUGGACUGAAACUGACGUUGAGGCUCGAAAGCGUGGGGAGCAAACAGGAUUAGAUACCCUAGUAA